CUACUUCAAAUUGAUAGACAUGACUUGAUU
rnacentral:sRNA from 1 species